rnacentral:rRNA from 1 species
AUGCAGCGCGAAGAACCUUACCAAGGCUUGACAUAUAGAGGAAACGUUCAGAAAUGAUCACCCCGCAAGGUCUCUAUACAGGUGGUGCAUGGUUGUCGUCAGCUCGUGUCGUGAGAUGUUGGGUUAAGUCCCGCAACGAGCGCAACCCUCGUCCUAUGUUGCCAGCACGUUAUGGUGGGAACUCAUGGGAGACUGCCGGGGUCAACUCGGAGGAAGGUGGGGAUGACGUCAAAUCAUCAUGCCCCUUAUGUCUUGGGCUUCACGCAUGCUACAAUGGCCGGUACAAAGGGCUGCGAUACCGUAAGGUGGAGCGAAUCCCAUAAAGCCGGUCUCAGUUCGGAUUGAGGUCUGCAACUCGACCUCAUGAAGUCGGAGUCGCUAGUAAUCGUAGAUCAGCAACGCUACGGUGAUACGUUCCCGGGCCUUGUACACACCGCCCGUCAAGUCACGAAAGUC